GUUCAUGUUAUAACAGGGGUGAAGCCUGAAAAUAUGCUACGUGGAAAAAAAAAAAGACACAAAAUGUCACGUGCUACAUGUUUCCAUUUCUGUGGAGGAAAAACCCUGAUCACGGGUCUAACUGUCCUCAGAGGUGAGCAGACCGAGGGGUGACGGGAAGCGAUGUCCCGGGGUCCCACCUGCAGGGCACAUGGGUGUGAGACGCGCUGGGCCUCGCCUCCACCCUUCUAGAAGCCCGAGGUCCUUCAUCUUUGCCAAGACAGAGGGGCAGCAGGGAAACAGGGCCUGUGACAGCCCCUUUUCUGUCCGCUCCUGGUUAGAGCCACUCCGAGGCCUGGAGAAGACUUCCGUCUGCACUCACUGCCCC
rnacentral:lncRNA from 1 species